CAGCCGCCGCGGUAAUACAGAGGGUGCGAGCGUUAAUCGGAUUUACUGGGCGUAAAGCGUGCGUAGGCGGCUUCUUAAGUCGGAUGUGAAAUCCCUGAGCUUAACUUAGGAAUUGCAUUCGAUACUGGGAAGCUAGAGUAUGGGAGAGGAUGGUAGAAUUCCAGGUGUAGCGGUGAAAUGCGUAGAGAUCUGGAGGAAUACCGAUGGCGAAGGCAGCCAUCUGGCCUAAUACUGACGCUGAGGUACGAAAGCAUGGGGAGCAAACAGGAUUAGAUACCCGCGUAGUCCCUGUCUCUUAUAU
rnacentral:rRNA from 1 species